UUAGCGGCGGACGGGUGAGUAACACGUGGGCAACCUACCUGUAAGACUGGGAUAACUUCGGGAAACCGGAGCUAAUACCGGAUGACAUUAAGGAACUCCUGUUCCUUAAUUGAAAGAUGGCUUCGGCUAUCACUUACAGAUGGGCCCGCGGCGCAUUAGCUAGUUGGUGAGGUAACGGCUCACCAAGGCGACGAUGCGUAGCCGACCUGAGAGGGUGAUCGGCCACACUGGGACUGAGACACGGCCCAGACUCCUACGGGAGGCAGCAGUAGGGAAUCUUCCGCAAUGGACGAAAGUCUGACGGAGCAACGCCGCGUGAGCGAUGAAGGCCUUCGGGUCGUAAAGCUCUGUUGUUAGGGAAGAACAAGUGCUAGUUAAAUAAGCUGGCACCUUGACGGUACCUAACCAGAAAGCCACGGCUAACUACGUGCCAGCAGCCGCGGUAAUACGUAGGUGGCAAGCGUUGUCCGGAAUUAUUGGGCGUAAAGCGCGCGCAGGCGGUUUCUUAAGUCUGAU
rnacentral:rRNA from 1 species